rnacentral:lncRNA from 1 species
AUUCAUCAAGAUAGCAAGGGAAGAACACCAUAUGAUUCAACUAUAUUAACAAGGACCGUGAUACAUCAAGAUCGUGCCAUCUCAAGAACACGAGACACACACAUACACACACACACACAUACACACACACACACACACACAUAGAGAGAGAGAGAUUAAACACAUAGUUACUGGUACAUACCCUCAGCCCCGAGGGUGAACUACCCCCUCCUCGUCAUGGACACCGCCGGGAUGAUGAAUAUCGCCUCCGAUGAUGAUUACCCCUCCGUCAGGGUACCGGAACAAGUAUCUAGAUGAUUUUUCUUCGGUAGGCUUAUGGCGGCGCAGCGGGAGUUCUAGGUUAAUUUCUGAG